AUUUAGGCAGCGCCUGAGUCCUCCUGGUGUCAAGAGCUUCACUUUGCACUGAUCAAGUUGUUGGUUUGAUUGUUUCGUAAUCGGUGAACUCUAAGGAUAGAAGAAUUUGUAGUGGUGAGCCAUUAUUCUGCAAGCGUGAGCGUUCGGCUGAGUUAAGAGAAGGGAAAUAGUGUUUGCUGGAAGAACCCUUGGAAGAAGUGGAGGUUAAGGCUGAACCUUAAGACCGUUCGACAAUUAGAGAUUUUCAUUUUGUAUAAUCGUUCGGUAUAAGCAUAGUUUUGGAAACAUUCGGUCUAGUUCUUCUUUAUGUAAAGUUUUAAAUGCUAUGGUAUUUUUGUAAGGUCGUUCGGCCAUAAUCGUACCUUCUUUUUC